ensembl:snoRNA
GUGGCCUGUUAAAGCUGAUAGUGCCUUAAGAGGCUAACCCAAAAGGAAGGGUAUAAUAUUUCUCCAUUAAACCCAAACUUGAGAUUUAAAGCUCAUUUUUGGAUCCUGUCUGGAGUUACAACU